UAAGGCUGAGACACGACGUCGAGCACCUACGGGUGUGAAGUCAUUGAUGCCAUGCUUCCAGGAAAAGCCUCUAAGCUUCAGAUUGUAAGGAAUCGUACCCCAAACCGACACAGGUGGUCGGGUAGAGAAUACCAAGGCGCUUGAGAGAACUCGGGUGAAGGAACUAGGCAAAAUGGUACCGUAACUUCGGGAGAAGGUACGCUCUUGAUGGUGAAGUCCCUCGCGGAUGGAGCUGACGAGAGUCGCAGAUACCAGGUGGCUGCAACUGUUUAUUAAAAACACAGCACUGUGCAAAAUCGUAAGAUGACGUAUACGGUGUGACGCCUGCCCGGUGCCGGAAGGUUAAUUGAUGGGGUUAGACUUCGGUCGAAGCUCUUGAUCGAAGCCCCGGUAAACGGCGGCCGUAACUAUAACGGUCCUAAGGUAGCGAAAUUCCUUGUCGGGUAAGUUCCGACCUGCACGAAUGGCGUAAUGAUGGCCACGCUGUCUCCACCCGAGACUCAGUGAAAUUGAAAUCGCUGUGAAGAUGCAGUGUACCCGCGGCUAGACGGAAAGACCCCGUGAACCUUUACUACAGCUUGGCACUGAACAUUGACCCUACAUGUGUAGGAUAGGUGGGAGGCUUUGAAGCACGUACGCCAGUAUGUGUGGAGCCGUCCUUGAAAUACCACCCUUGUAGUGUUGAUGUUCUAACGUCGACCCCUUAUCGGGGUUGCGGACAGUGCCUGGUGGGUAGUUUGACUGGGGCGGUCUCCUCCCAAAGAGUAACGGAGGAGCACGAAGGUGGGCUAAUCACGGUUGGACAUCGUGAGGUUAGUGCAAUGGCAUAAGCCCGCUUGACUGCGAGAAUGACAAUUCGAGCAGGUGCGAAAGCAGGUCAUAGUGAUCCGGUGGUUCUGAAUGGAAGGGCCAUCGCUCAACGGAUAAAAGGUACUCCGGGGAUAACAGGCUGAUACCGCCCAAGAGUUCAUAUCGACGGCGGUGUUUGGCACCUCGAUGUCGGCUCAUCACAUCCUGGGGCUGAAGUCGGUCCCAAGGGUAUGGCUGUUCGCCAUUUAAAGUGGUACGCGAGCUGGGUUUAGAACGUCGUGAGACAGUUCGGUCCCUAUCUGCCGUGGGCGUUGGAAGAUUGAAGGGGGCUGCUCCUAGUACGAGAGGACCGGAGUGGACGAACCUCUGGUGUUCGGGUUGUGUCGCCAGACGCAUUGCCCGGUAGCUAAGUUCGGAAUCGAUAACCGCUGAAAGCAUCUAAGCGGGAAGCGAGCCCUGAGAUGAGUCUUCCCUGAUACUUUAAGUAUCCUAAAGGGUUGUCGGAGACUACGACGUUGAUAGGUCAGGUGUGUAAGUGCUGUGAGGCAUUGAGCUAACUGAUACUAAUUGCCCGUGAGGCUUAACCAUACAACACCCAAGGGGUUU
rnacentral:rRNA from 1 species